CAAAGGGUAGUUUAAUAAAAUAAUAGUUUUGGGGACUUUUGAUGGGUUUAUACCUUCCUUUGA
rnacentral:tRNA from 1 species